rnacentral:rRNA from 1 species
GACGAACGCUGGCGGCGUGCUUAACACAUGCAAGUCGAACGGAAAGGCCCUGCUUUUGUGGGGUACUCGAGUGGCGAACGGGUGAGUAACACGUGAGUAACCUGCCCUUGACUUUGGGAUAACUUCAGGAAACUGGGGCUAAUACCGGAUAGGAGCUCCUGCUGCAUGGUGGGGGUUGGAAAGUUUCGGCGGUUGGGGACGGACUCGCGGCUUAUCAGCUUGUUGGUGGGGUAGUGGCUAACCAAGGCUUUGACGGGUAGCCGGCCUGAGAGGGUGACCGGCCACAUUGGGACUGAGAUACGGCCCGGACUCCUACGGGAGGCAGCAGUGGGGAAUAUGGCACAAUGGGCGGAAGCCGGAGGCAGCACGGCCGCGGGCGGAAUAACGGCCUUCGGGUGGUAAACCGCUUUCGCCGGUGACGAAGCGUGAGUGACGGUAAUGGGUAAAGAAGCACCGGCUAACUACGUG